AAGAAGUGUGAGAGACACUUCCGCUGAAAGUCCAAGGUUUCCUGCGUAAAGCUAAUCUGCGCAGGGUUAGUCGGCCCCUAAGGUGAGGCUGAGAAGCGUAGCUGAUGGGAAGCAGGUUAAUAUUCCUGCACCAGCUAGGAGGUGACGGAUUUCAAAGAUUGUAACUGAUUAUUGGAUUUCGGUUGCAGUUCAGAAGUUCCAGGAAAGAGCCCUAGCAUAGACCGUACCCCAAACCGACACAGGUGGACAGGUAGAGAAUACCAAAGCGCUUGAGAGAACUAUGUUGAAGGAACUAGGCAAAAUGCUUGUGUAACUUCGGGAUAAGCAAGCCCCAUUUUUAGGCAACUAAAGGUGGGGGGCACAUACUAGGGGGUAGCGACUGUUUACUAAAAACACAGGGCUCUGCUAAAUUGAAAGAUGAAGUAUAGGGUCUGACGCCUGCCCGGUGCUGGAAGGUUAAGGAGAGAUGUUCACGCAUUGAACUGAAGCCCCAGUAAACGGCGGCCGUAACUAUAACGGUCCUAAGGUAGCGAAAUUCCUUGUCGGGUAAGUUCCGACCUGCACGAAUGGCGUAACGACUUCCCCGCUGUCUCCAACAUAGGCUCAGCGAAAUUGAACUCUGAGUUAAGAUGCUCAGUACCCGCGGUUAGACGGAAAGACCCCGUGAACCUUUACUAUAGCUUUGCAGUGGUAUUAGGUAAUAGAUGUGUAGAAUAGGUGGGAUGCUAUGAAGCAGGGACGCUAGUUCUUGUGGAGCAGCUGUUGAAAUACCACCCUUUUGUUAUUUGAUAUCUAACCUGCUCCCGUAGAUCCGGGAGAGGGACCCUGCAUGGUGGGUAGUUUGACUGGGGCGGUCGCCUCCCAAAGAGUAACGGAGGCGUGCGAAGGUUAGCUCAGACUGGUCGGAAAUCAGUCGUCGAGUGCAAUGGCAUAAGCUAGCCUGACUGCGAGAGAGACAUUUCGAGCAGAUACGAAAGUAGGUCAUAGUGAUCCGGUGGUCCCGAGUGGAAGGGCCAUCGCUCAACGGAUAAAAGGUACUCCGGGGAUA
rnacentral:rRNA from 1 species